UUCUCACCCAAUUAUCUUUAUUAAAUAUGUCUGCGGGACUCCGUAUGAGUGAUAGAGCCCCUGCGUAAUCAUCCAUUGGAUACCCUUUGAGGGAGGUUCGGACUUUGAAGGAUAGUAUCCGCGAAUUUUUGUAUCAGUUUUGGCGACCCAGAUGGGAUCAUCUCUGUCCGGCUGCAGGACCCCCUGAGACGGAGACUCCCUUGGCCGCCCCCAGAGAAUUCUCUGGAGGGACUCCCCGAUUCGGUGGAUCUGUGUGGGGGCAGACAAGGACCUCUGGAUCAAGCAGUGGAGAUGAGUCAUCUGGAUGCAAGAACAGUUUUCUUAGUCAUAAGGGUAGCUAUGCAGUCCCCGUGCAGAUUUGUACUCUAGCUUACAAGGAAUCACUUAACUGAAUUUUUGGUCUGUUCAACAGAGAAAUAGACAUCAACCUGAGGUGUUCUAUGGAUGGUGAUAAUGUAUCCCAUGAUUGCUUCAAGUUUUUGUCCUCUAUUUUUAAAUAAGUUUAAAGUUAUGACUGGAGAAAACCUUGAAAUCAAAUGUAAAAGUGUUGUGAUAUUUGCCUGAAUUUGCAAAUUCCAAAACAACAGGUGGAAGAGGUGUUACUGUCCAAUUUGUAUCAGUGAGAUGUAAACUCAAAUGUUCAUGGACCAUAUUUCAAUGUUAAUGUUGACCAGCAAAGAUUUGUUUUGUUGGCCAUCAAAGUAAGGGGAAAACCAAAAUUGUAUUGUGUAAUUCUCCAUCAUCUAGUAGCUGGGAUGUUUAUUCUUGCUUAAUCUUGGUGGAUCUGUCAGAGUACUAGAGUUAUUGUGUUCCCUAGACAAGAAAUGACUGAGAGAAAACUAGCAAAAAUGAGAAAUCUGACAGAACAUUGCUGUCCUAAAAAGGGAGCACAAGGUACAAAUGUAUUUGCAUUAAUACACUGUUUUUAAGGCAAAAAGAAGAAUAAGAUGGAUGGAUGGAUGGAUGGAAGUUAAUAAUUAAUUAAUAAAAUAUAUCAUGAUUUGUUCAACAAUGUACAGUUUACAUCUUUUGGAAGCAUUAUAUGUGAGAACAAAGUAAGAUUAAUAACUUGGCAAAGACCUGGUCACUAACUGUGAGAAACACAUGAUUAACUGGGGGUGCUAUUCAGACAGAAGUAUUACAGAUUAAUUUCAUAGACAAAAUUUUACAUUGAUCUCCAGUAUGUACAAAAUUACUAACUUAACUAGUUCCUAGUCUACAAGAAUAUGAAAAUAUCACUGCUAUUUUGCCUAUCCAAGGAGUAUUUCUUUUUAGUUAAGUUCAUUAACUUUCUCUAUUAGGCUGGGGACUUAAAGAACUCACUGUUAACAGAAAUGACAUGAACUUUUUACAUUUGCGUCACUGCUUAUGAGAAUUUGAUCCAUGUUU